GUAAAAAUUAAUUAAUCAAUGUUUCAGUUGAUUACUAAAUUUACAGUUGAUAGAAAUAAUAAUAUCAUCAAUAUAUCAAUGUUGUAAUAACAUACAUGAAUUAAUGUAAUAUAAUAAAAUGGAAAGUAAUAAAAAAUUAUCAAACCAUUCAGGACGAUACAUUUGGAAUGUAGACAGUCCAAAAAAUGCAGCAGUACACUUUGGAAAUUUUCAUCAACACCAGGAUGAUCCGGGAAACAUCAAAUCGUCGUUGACAUCAACGAAUAAAUUGCAAUUUACUACAUCCGUUGUACCAAGGUCUAAAUUUACCAGACACAUGAUUCAUUAGAGAAAUUAAAUGGAAGUAUUUACUAUACAAGUCAACUAUUAAGUUUUCUUGAUGAAGUUGUUGAACCUCCAGAAUUUUCCAUAGAUUUACCUUCUACUGAUGAUCGUGUACUGGAAGAUGAUCUAAAAGCAUCAUAUCCUCUUUGGUACAAAAAUCCUGAGAAGAUGUAGAAGAUGUACAUGUGUAUGACUGUCUUUACGUUCCUGAACAGUCACCCAAGUAUCUUAUUUAGUAGUGUUUUCCCCAGAGGAUCUUCCCUCUGGAAAUGUCUACAAUAUUAUUCAUGAUGCUAUCUUCUGAAUUAUUAUUCAUGAAAGUGUCAACAUUUUUGUUUUUCACAUCUGAAGGUAUCUUGUCAGUGUCAAAGAAAAUGCACUUAAGGGUAAAUUGAUUACUGGUCAGGAUGAAGAAUUAAUUUUUCAUUCAAAUUCAGAAAAAUGACUGAUGAUACUGCAAGUGAAAUUAAAAAUUCUGAAACUCUUGAAAGAUCAGAAAAAAUCUCUAGUGGAGAUGAAAGCCUAACAGAAACUGCACAAUCAUCAAACGAAGACCAGUACAUUCUUAAUAGGUUUUAUGAGUAUUCUCAGGGCUUGUUCAAGGAUGUGCUCAGUGUGAAACAGAAUUAAAUUAAUAAAUAAUUUAAACUCACAAAUUAUGACA
rnacentral:misc_RNA from 1 species